ACAAGCAGCGAGCGUGUGGUUUAAUUCGAUGCGACACGAAGAACCUCACCUGGGAUUGACAUACAAGUAGUAGGGGAGCGAAAGCCGACCGAGCCGCAAGGCAGCUUGAACAGGUGCUGCAUGGCUGUCGUCAGCUCGUGCCGUGAGGUGUUGGGUUAAGUCCCACAACGAGCGCAACCCUUGUUGCCAGUUACAAGUAUCUGGCGAGACUGCCGGCGUAUAACCGGAGGAAGGUAGGGAUGACGUCAAGUCAGCAUGGCCUUUAUAUCCAGGGCUACACACACGCUACAAUGGCCGGUACAGAGGGCAGCGAAGCCGCGAGGCGGAGCCAAUCCCAGAAAGCCGGUCUCAGUUCAGAUUGCAGGCUGCAACCCGCCUGCAUGAAGUCGGAGUUGCUAGUAACCGCAGGUCAGCCAUACUCGCGGUCCGAAUACGUUCCGGGCCUU
rnacentral:rRNA from 1 species